CCCAUAUCGCCUAGCAGAUUACUUUCAGGGACUAGGCAAAGAUAUAUUAGUCAUGAGAGAAAGACAAUUAGCUGCUUCUACAGUGGCAUGGCCACUGUUAAAUGCUUUAAAUAAUGCUGAAAUAAGGAAUAAUACUUUAAUGAACAAAAAUGAACUUUUAAAAGAUCGUACUGGAAAGUUAGAACAGGAACUUGGCAUGUUAACAGGGAAAAAACCAAUUUUACAUCUUCCAAUAGGUCAAGUUUAUGGAAAUAUUACGAACAAUGACCAGGCUCCUGAAUCAACGGACUGCGUUGAUCAGGAAAAUAAACAAUCUAAAUCAGAUCUUGAAUCUCCUAUUUUUACGGAUGCUCUAGAAGUCCGUCCUGUUAUAACUCAAAAAACAAAAAAGGUACAGGACAGACCAGCAGGGGUGCCGCCUGAUCAGUGGCCCCCUGUUCAAACCCACUUGCACGUAACAGCCCGACCGUACACGGCAACAGAACUGAUGGGCUUAGUCCAACGAUUCAGGCAGAAACCUAGAGAAAGUGUGCCAGCUUGGUUGUUAAGACUAUGGGAUUCUGGGGCGGAAAGUGUUCUGGUGAAUGGCCCAGAAAUAGCCAAAUUGGCCACAAUGACCGUCCAUCCUGCUCUCAGACAAAGAUUAUAUGCAGGUAAUCAAUAUAAUGAUGAAAACCAUUCUAUAAUAGAAUGGUUAAUGGCGGCCUGCCGUAUGGUAUGGCCCAAUAAAUCUGAUAUUCCUUUACAUACAGGGAUGUGGUCCUCCAUGGAGGACCUUCAAAAUUACAUCCGUGAGCUAGGUGUAAGGGAAACAAUUUAUGAAGAUACCUUUGAUGGCCCGGAUCUGGUCAAAUUCUCAGCGGAGAUGAGAGACCUGAUUUUACAACAAGCUCCCUCCCAUCUGUAUGGUACUCUGGUCUCUAUAUUAAAUCCCCUAGUGGCCUCAGAAGCAGUUGUCCAGCAGGCUGCCCAGUUAGUGGCCGACCUGGGAGAAACAGAACG
rnacentral:lncRNA from 1 species